rnacentral:rRNA from 1 species
UGGGGAAUUUUCCGCAAUGGGCGAAAGCCUGACGGAGCAACGCCGCGUGGGCGAUGAAGUUCUUCGGAAUGUAAAGCCCUUUCAGCAGGGACGAAGCGAGUGACGGUACCUGCAGAGGAAGCAUCGGCUAACUACGUGCCAGCAGCCGCGGUAAUACGUAGGAUGCAAGCGUUGUCCGGAUUUAUUGGGCGUAAAGAGAACGUAGGCGGCCACUUAAGUUUGGUCUUAAAGACUGGGGCUCAACCUCAGGAAUGGAUCGAAUACUGGGUGGCUAGAGGACGUCAGAGGAAGGUGGAAUUCCCAGUGUAGCGGUGAAAUGCGUAGAUAUUGGGAGGAACACCAGUGGCGAAAGCGACCUUCUGGGACGUUCCUGACGCUGAGGUUCGAAAGCUCGGGGAGCAAACAGGAUUAGAUACCCUGGUAGUCCGGGCCGUAAACGAUGGAUACUAGGUGUUGGAGGUAUCGACCCCUCCAGUGCCGUAGCUAACGCGUUAAGUAUCCCGCCUGGGGAGUACGGUCGCAAGACUGAAACUUAAAGGAAUUGACGGGGUCAUAGCUGUUUCCU